GUGGGUAUAGCUCAGUGGCAGAGCACAUGCUUAGCAUGCCUGAGAUCUUGGGUUCAAUCCCCAGUACCUCCA
rnacentral:tRNA from 1 species